rnacentral:snoRNA from 1 species
UAUCAUGAUGAACCCUGCAGAUAGGGACAGCUUAUGCAUUGCAUAUGAUGUUAAUUUCCAGGAAGAGUAUUUUAGUAGAUGCUUCUCGUUUCUGAUA